CAGAGAAUAGUUUAAUUAAAAUUUUAAUUUUGGAGAUUAAUAAUAAAAGGAUUCUUUUUUCUCUGA
rnacentral:tRNA from 1 species